rnacentral:lncRNA from 1 species
CAAAAUUGUCUUUGUAUAUAUAUAGUUACUGGAUUUAAAAAAUCUUUAAAAAUAGUGGGUUUCUCGUUAUGCUUUCCACCAAUGCUUACAAGUAUGUUGAGAACACUAUAAUAAACAAUUUAUGUUAUAUUCCCAGUUAUUCGUAAUACACGAUUUUGAUUUCUAAAGUUAAAACAAAUCGUUCAAGAAGUCAUUUUAUACGGUAACACGAGCUACUCCCCUUCAAAUUAAUUUCAAUAGUUCCCUGUCAUGUAGUCCGAGAUUACUCCGAUGUCCAACGGUUGUUUUGCCAGACAAGCUGUGACCGUGGGACGUCAGAGCUCGUCCCAUGUCCCACGGCCCCAGCUUAUCUGACAAAACAGCCGUUGGACGUCAGAGUAAUCUCGUACUACCUGCCAUGCAGAGCUUCCUUGAAAAGUUUUAAGAUAAAUUGUUCAUCUGAUUUACUUCAAACAUAUAAUAGUAAUUCCAGCUUUAAAAUCGAGUAAGACCCCAAAUUGUCAAAGGUAAUAAGACCCUAUUCGAACAAGUAUCAGUGGUUAUAUGUCAUAUUUGAUGUCUUGGGCUUGAUAUCCUGGACUGUUGGGUUUUUUUUCUAUCAGAAUAUUGCGUCAAUGUGUGUGGCUAUAUGUUCCUAUUACCCAUGUGGUUCUCUUCUAUAAUGUAGGGUAUAUCUAAAUCUUUAUUUAGCUGUGAGUAACUUAACGUGCAUUCAAUAUUUACCGCUGCGUGUGUAGCAUCUACCAAUCUAAUCAUUUAAACCACGAAAUUCAAAAGGGAAAAUAAGCUUUGUUAAUAAAACUAACAUCAUGAUUUGUUAUUGCUACAAGCAAGUUCUUCUCCCAAUGUUUUUCAGGAUACAAUAAAGUAAUUAUCAGUAUGGACUAUUGUUUCAUUGUUGUUGGUUUUUUGUUGUUGUUUUUUUUUUGACGUCUUGAAUAUAAAUAUAUUUCUAUUUAUAUUUGAUUUAAGUGACUGUAUUUUUGUACAUAUUUUAUAUCUUCAUGCAUCAAUACACAUUUGUUUUUUAACAUAUUGAAUAUAAAUGUAUGUGUAUUUAUAUCUGAUAUAAGUGACUGUAUUUUUGUAAAUAAUUGUAUAUCUUCAUGCAUCAAUACAAUAUAAAAUUGAAAAUGAAAAUGGGGAAUGUGUCAAAAAAAAAAUUAAAAAAAAAAAAUUGAAUAUAUCAAACUAAUGAAAGAAUAUCGAAAUCAAAACCAAGUGUUUAUAGUUUUGUCAAAUUUAUCCUAAGAGAAGAGCUAAUCAUUGUUGUUCAAUAUUAACAUUAUAUUAGAAAAAUAUUUGUUUGAGAAUUGAAAAAAAACUCUCAGAUUUUUUGAAAGUAAAUAGAUAUUAAAAAAAUGUGGUAUGUUUAGUUUUUUUUCUGUAAAACCGUUAGAUAUUUGAAAUGUAAGUCAUUAACGGUGAAUGUGAUUUGUGGUAAAAACAAUUUUGAUAUGUGUGUUUAUUUUGCAUAUUUUUAAGCCUGUUUAAGCCUGUUUAAGACAAAAAUACAUAUAUACAAUGAAAUAUACAAUAGUUAAACUUGAAAGAAUGUAAUUUUAUGAAUUAUACAAGAUACUAUUUUACACGAAUUAGAAC